rnacentral:misc_RNA from 1 species
UCUCCGUUGGUGAACCAGCGGAGGGAUCAUUACAGGACUCGCAAGACUCCUUCACCCUGUGAACCUCACUACAAGCACGUUGCUUCGGCGGGUGUCCCGGCGGGGGUUUUCCCUCGCCGGGGCGCACAGCCCGCCGGCAGCCUACUAUACUCUGUCUCUUUGCGUUGGCAUCUCGAGAAAAAACAAACAAGUUAAAACUUUCAACAACGGAUCUCUUGGUUCUGGCAUGAUGAAGAACGCAGC